rnacentral:rRNA from 1 species
GACGGGUGAGUAAUGCAUAGGAAUCUACCUAGUAGUAUGGGAUAGCCACUAGAAAUGGUGGGUAAUACUGUAUAAUCCCUGCGGGGGAAAGAUUUAUCGCUAUUAGAUGAGCCUAUGUUAGAUUAGCUAGUUGGUAGGGUAAAGGCCUACCAAGGCGAUGAUCUAUAGCUGGUCUGAGAGGAUGAUCAGCCACACUGGAACUGAGAUACGGUCCAGACUCCUACGGGAGGCAGCAGUGGGGAAUAUUGGACAAUGGGCGCAAGCCUGAUCCAGCUAUGCCGCGUGAGUGAGGAAGGCCUUAGGGUUGUAAAACUCUUUCAGUAGGGAAGAUAAUGACGGUACCUACAGAAGAAGUCCCGGCAAACUCCGUGCCAGCAGCCGCGGUAAUACGGAGGGGGCAAGCGUUGUUCGGAAUUAUUGGGCGUAAAGGGCAUGUAGGCGGUUCGGUAAGUUAAAGGUGAAAU